ACGGAAGGCAGCAGUGGGGGAUAUUGCACAAUGGGGGAAACCCUGAUGCAGCAACGCCGCGUGAAGGAAGAAGGUCUUCGGAUUGUAAACUUCUGUUCUUGGUGACGAAACAAAUGACGGUAGCCAAGGAGAAAGCCACGGCUAACUACGUGCCAGCAGCCGCGGUAAUACGUAGGUGGCAAGCGUUGUCCGGAAUUACUGGGUGUAAAGGGUGCGCAGGCGGGACUGCAAGUUGGAUGUGAAAUCCCGGAGCUUAACUCCGGAACUGCAUCCAAAACUGUGGUUCUUGAGUGAAGUAGAGGUUGGCGGAAUUCCGAGUGUAGCGGUGAAAUGCGUAGAUAUUCGGAGGAACACCAGUGGCGAAGGCGGCCAACUGGGCUUUAACUGACGCUGAGGCACGAAAGUAUGGGGAGCAAACAGGAUUAGAUACCCUGGUA
rnacentral:rRNA from 1 species